rnacentral:rRNA from 1 species
AGGAUGAACGCUGGCGGCGUGCCUAAUACAUGCAAGUCGAGCGAACGGACGAGAAGCUUGCUUCUCUGAUGUUAGCGGCGGACGGGUGAGUAACACGUGGAUAACCUACCUAUAAGACUGGGAUAACUUCGGGAAACCGGAGCUAAUACCGGAUAAUAUUUUGAACCGCAUGGUUCAAAAGUGAAAGACGGUCUUGCUGUCACUUAUAGAUGGAUCCGCGCUGCAUUAGCUAGUUGGUAAGGUAACGGCUUACCAAGGCAACGAUGCAUAGCCGACCUGAGAGGGUGAUCGGCCACACUGGAACUGAGACACGGUCCAGACUCCUACGGGAGGCAGCAGUAGGGAAUCUUCCGCAAUGGGCGAAAGCCUGACGGAGCAACGCCGCGUGAGUGAUGAAGGUCUUCGGAUCGUAAAACUCUGUUAUUAGGGAAGAACAUAUGUGUAAGUAACUGUGCACAUCUUGACGGUACCUAAUCAGAAAGCCACGGCUAACUACGUGCCAGCAGCCGCGGUAAUACGUAGGUGGCAAGCGUUAUCCGGAAUUAUUGGGCGUAAAGCGCGCGUAGGCGGUUUUUUAAGUCUGAUGUGAAAGCCCACGGCUCAACCGUGGAGGGUCAUUGGAAACUGGAAAACUUGAGUGCAGAAGAGGAAAGUGGAAUUCCAUGUGUAGCGGUGAAAUGCGCAGAGAUAUGGAGGAACACCAGUGGCGAAGGCGACUUUCUGGUCUGUAACUGACGCUGAUGUGCGAAAGCGUGGGGAUCAAACAGGAUUAGAUACCCUGGUAGUCCACGCCGUAAACGAUGAGUGCUAAGUGUUAGGGGGUUUCCGCCCCUUAGUGCUGCAGCUAACGCAUAAGCACUCCGCC